rnacentral:rRNA from 1 species
UGGGGAAUAUCGCACAAUGGGCGCAAGCCUGAUGCAGCCAUGCCGCGUGUAUGAAGAAGGCCUUCGGGUUGUAAAGUACUUUCAGCGGGGAGGAAGGGAGUAAAGUUAAUACCUUUGCUCAUUGACGUUACCCGCAGAAGAAGCACCGGCUAACUCCGUGCCAGCAGCCGCGGUAAUACGGAGGGUGCAAGCGUUAAUCGGAAUUACUGGGCGUAAAGCGCACGCAGGCGGUCUGUCAAGUCGGAUGUGAAAUCCCCGGGCUUAACCUGGGAACUGCAUUCGAAACUGGCAGGCUAGAGUCUUGUAGAGGGGGGUAGAAUUCCAGGUGUAGCGGUGAAAUGCGUAGAGAUCUGGAGGAAUACCGGUGGCGAAGGCGGCCCCCUGGACAAAGACUGACGCUCAGGUGCGAAAGCGUGGGGAGCAAACAGG